rnacentral:rRNA from 1 species
GACGAACGCUGGCGGCGUGCCUAAUACAUGCAAGUCGAACGCACUCUCGUUUAGAUUGAAGGAGUUUGCUCCUGAUUGAUCAACAUUUGAGUGAGUGGCUGACGGGUGAGUAACACGUGGGUAACCUGCCCUAAAGUGGGGGAUAACAUUUGGAAACAGAUGCUAAUACCGCAUAAAACCUAACACCGCAUGGUGUAGGGUUGAAAGAUGGUUUCGGCUAUCAUUUUAGGAUGGACCCGCGGUGCAUUAGCUAGUUGGUGAGGUAAAGGCUCACCAAGACCAUGAUGCGUAGCCGACCUGAGAGGGUGAUCGGCCACACUGGGACUGAGACACGGCCCAGACUCCUACGGGAGGCAGCAGUAGGGAAUCUUCCACAAUGGGCGAAAGUCUGAUGGAGCAACGCCGCGUGAGUGAAGAAGGUUUUCGGAUCGUAAAACUCUGUUGUUGGAGAAGAAUGUAUGUGAUAGUAACUGAUCAGGUAGUGACGGUAUCCAACCAGAAAGCCACGGCUAACUACGUG